AGAGAAGCAAUACCGCGAGGUGGAGCAAAACUUCAAAAAUGGUCUCAGUUCGGACUGUAGGCUGCAACUCGCCUACACGAAGUUGGAAUUGCUAGUAAUCGUGGAUCAGCAUGCCACGGUGAAUACGUUCCCGGGUCUUGUACACACCGCCCGUCACACCAUGGGAGCUGGUAACACCCGAAGUCAGUAGUCUAACCGCAAGGAGGACGCUGCCGAAGGUGGGAUUAGCGACUGGGGUGAAGUCGUAACAAGGUAAC
rnacentral:rRNA from 1 species